UACGUAGGGGGCUAGCGUUGUUCGGAAUUACUGGGCGUAAAGCGCGUGUAGGCGGUUAUCCAAGUCAGGUGUGAAAGCCUUGAGCUCAACUCAAGAAAUGCACUUGGUACUGGGUGACUAGAGGACCGGAGAGGAUAGUGGAAUUCCCAGUGUAGUGGUGAAAUACGUAGAGAUUGGGAAGAACACCAGUGGCGAAGGCGGCUAUCUGGACGGUUUCUGACGCUAAGACGCGAAAGCGUGGGGAGCAAACAGG
rnacentral:rRNA from 1 species